CCUACGGGAGGCAGCAGUGGGGAAUAUUGGACAAUGGGGGGAACCCUGAUCCAGCGACGCCGCGUGAGUGAAGAAGUAUUUCGGUAUGUAAAGCUCUAUUAGUAGGGAAGAAAAUGACGGUACGUGACUAAGAAGACCCGGCUUACUACGGGCCAGCAGCCGCGGUAAUACGUAGGGGGCAAGCGUUAUCCGGCUGUACUGGGUGUAAAGGGAGCGUAGGCGGGGAAGCAAGGUGGAUGUGACAGGUUGGGGCCCAACCCCGAGACGGCAGUGGAAACUGGUGAACUUGAGUACAGGAGAGGUAAGCGGAAGUCCGAGGGUAGCGGUGAAAUGCGUAGAUAGUAGGAGGAACACCAGUGGCGAAGGCGGCUUACUGGGCUGUAACUGACGUGGAGGCUCGAAAGCGUGGGGAGCAAACAGGAUUAGAUACCCUAGUAGGC
rnacentral:rRNA from 1 species